CGAAUUUUGACUUUAUCCUGAAGAUCAUCAGGAGUCCUUGACAGGAGAUAGAGUAGAAAUUUAAAAGCAGCCUCUAAAUUUCAGAAACGGAACCCAUUGAUAAGAGUCCAUUUUAAAGAGGAAUCUUCAGGUUUGGGGCAUGAGGUCAUGCCUGUCACACAAUUUCUACCACUCUCCAGAGUAAUCAUGGGUGAUUUGGCACCUCCGGCUAACAGGUGUGUCAUAUCAGAGACUGCCACAGACACCCGGGGCAAUGAGAUUCGUCACUUAAAGAAGGAGGCUGCGGGAGAGCGCCCCAUCCACCGCUGCUGAGUCAUCCCACUCUGUUAGCUAUUUAAACAAGCCUCCAGCAGACACACAAUCAACACUGCACUCCGACAAUGUCCAGACCUCCAGAAAUCAUGGGUCCAGCUUGGAUUGCCCAAGACAAGUACAAUCUUCAAAACAGUAUCUCUCCUCUUUUCCCCAUAUUGUCACACUAGGGGUUCUGACCUCUGGCUCUUUUACUAGAAAUGAGACUAUCCAGCCAGUCCUCCUAUGGGACCUUGGCCCCAGAGGUCACCAAUUCCUGUUUCAAGUUUUCCCACGGUCUUUCUGACUUGACUCUUGUAUUUCUUUCAUGCCAGCAAACAGUGGUGGAGCACCUGUUGUGGGUUCGGCACUGAGCUACAGGUAAGAGUUGGUUAAAGGAUAAACAAGACACAUUCCUUGCCUUUGGCGGCUCACAGUCCAGUGGAAGAGACAGUCACGUAACCAGGCAACCACGAUAUACGAAGUGAUGGUUCUAAGACAGGUAAGUACAAGAUGAUGUUCUGGACCUUAAUUUUUUUGGGGGGCGGGGUACCACUACCCUUCUCAAAAAGCCAUCAUGCUCUGUGUAUGACCAUCUAGGAAGAAUUGAAGGGACGUAGGAGGCAUCAAAGGGAUAUGGGAGGAUGGAUGUUUUAGAAGGGCUUUUCGAAUCUAACAGUGUGUUCACCGUUCCAUCUGUCUGCCAGCCGUCACCUUGUUUGACUUGUGCCCUCACGGCCGCUCUGUCUGGCUGUGAGGGCCGUUGGUGGUUCUCUUCGCUGCCCAUCCUGUAGGUGCUCUCUUAGUGUGUCAGAUGAGGACUCCUUUCAUAUUUGGCUGUCAUCUAUCAGCCACAACUGCCCUGUCCAGAAGAGCUGGCUUGGGCUUUAAAGGCUGCUUCCUGGCUGGGCUUCUCCACCACUCCACUAAGGAUGCCAUUUGGUCUGACGUGCUGCAGGUGCUGCUGAUGAAAGUGCUACAGGAGUUGGUCUGACGUCUUUGGGAAGGACAAGACAGCAUGCCCACGGAGUUACCAUGUCCCAGUGCUGUUCUUUCCUCCUGAUGGAAAGGGUAUGUAUUCCGGAUGACCACUCUCAAGAUCUGAAUGUACACUGGUUCUGUUUUUCCUGAGGGCAACGUGGGCAGUCUGUAGGGUGGCAUUAACCAGAUGAGGCUUCAAGAGCACCCUUUCAUCAGGGACGCAACAGUAGAGUUGUAUUCAUUCAUUCGACAUAUUUUUGGAGCAUGUGCUUAUUGCCAUGUACUGUGCUGGGUAGGUGCGGAGCAUCCAGUGACAAGACUAUACGGCUCCUUACUCCACGGGGCUGCUGUUCUCCACUGUACGGAAAUUCCGCUCUCCCCUCUCAAGGCACAGGUUGUGCUUUGUACACCAUUAAAAGGAACAUCAACUAAAGGAAAACUGUUGUUUCCUCUCUACCCACAGAACACUUCUGACACCAGAUGUGUGGGGGUUUCUACACCAAGCAAUUCUCCAGUUCUCAGUGAACACUGACUGCGUAUUCUACAGUUUCACUCCAUUCCAAACCCAACUGCCCAGGUCUCAGCAUUCAGCGCUGGGCCUUGCAAAAAGCAGCCCCUCCAUACCUUUGUGAGUAGACACAGGAAAGCAGAAUGAAGGAAAGAGGGGUCAGCAACAAAAAAACAAACAACCCGGUUCAACAGUGGGCAGAGCAUCUGAACAGACAUCUUCCCAAAGAAGACAUACAGAUGGCCAACAGGCACCUGAAAAGAUGUUCAGCAUCACUAAUUAUUAGGGAAAUGUAAAUUAAAUAAAAAAUGAGAUCUCACCUUGUGCAUGUUGGAAUGGCUACUAUAAAAAGACAAGAAAUAAAAAGUGUUGGAGAGGAUGUGAAGAAAAGGGAACUCUCAAACACUGCUGGUGGGAAUUCAAACUGGUGUAGCCACUAUGGAAAACAAUAUGGAGAUUUCUCAAAAAAUUAAAAACAGAAAUACCAUAUGAUCC
rnacentral:lncRNA from 1 species